rnacentral:lncRNA from 1 species
AGAUAGAUAGAUAGAUAGAUAGAUAGAUAGAUAGAUAGAUAGAUAGAUCAGCCUACUUCUUUUAAUUUUUUUUUGAGACAGGAUAUCACCAUGUAGACCUGUAACUCACUAUGUAGAUCAGGCUAGCCUUGAACUCACAGAGAUCGACUGUGAUGGCUAUUCUUGGUUGUCAACUUGGCUACAUCUGAAAUGAACUACAAACUAGAAAUGGAGGGCACAGCUGUGAGAGCUUGUUUUUCCUUGGGUGAAUCCACUCCCAGUCCAGACCUUUGAGGAGGAAAGACUCGUGACUUUUGAUGCUGAUCUUGAGGUGGGGAGACUCACUUUCCAUCAGGACCACACCUUCGGCUGGAAGCCUAUAGAAGGGCAUGGAAGAAGGAAGCUUUUGCUCUUUGCCUGCUUGCCCUCAUCUUGCUAGCAAGUCCACCCCUUCACGGGCAUUGGAACAUACUUCUUUGGAAUUCCAGCCUCGGGAUUCCAGCAUACACUAAAGACCAGCUGAGACACCCAGCCUUGUGGAUUGAGCAACUACUGGAUUCUUGGACUUUCCAUUCACAGUCAGACAUUGUUGGAUUAGCUGGAGAUACAUACAUAGAUGAGAAGGAUAUUCAUUCUAUAAGUUCUGUGACUCUAGAGAACCCUGACUAACACAUCCACCAUGCCCCUGCCUCCCCAGCACUGGAGUCAAAGGCUUGCACCACCACACCCAUUCACUUCUUUUAACUUUUUAGCUUUGGCUGAAGGGUCAAAAUCCAGUUGCAUUCCUUUCCAAACAAUACAUGAACUGAUUACCAAAUAUUUCCACUCAAAUGCUGACCCUCUGAGCGACUCGUGUCGGAAGCGGCUCCAAUACUCCUCAGAGUAUCAAGUCAUCAAAAUGCACGGCACCAUGAAAGCAAUGAAAACCAGCAUCGUUAGCAUGCAAGAAGGCUCGAGACACCACCGCUAGAAUCUAAACUGCAGGCUGAAACGAUUCACCUUUGAGUCUCAUGAAUAAAACCACACAUGAAACAAGUUACUCGACCAAAAGUAGGAAAACCUCAAAAACUGCUUCUGAGCCUCUAAGCUUGUCUAUGGGCACUAAAAGUCUCUGAUAGUGUCCUCAAACAGUAACUGCUGGUUUUGACAGCCGGUAAAAAUAAGCCUCAGCGGUUAGGGUUGUGUGGAUGGUAAAGUCCAACCUGGAUUAUCUGAGAUGUCACUGAAACAGGGUUCUGCAGUCUUUGGGAGGAAGGAGCAGGGCAAGGAAGGGCUGGUGGGAGGGACUGUUCCUCAUGAAAGGGAUUAUUAAGGAAGUGACCUCAGAUGAAUUUGAUGAUAUCUUUAUCUAAAGCCAGCAGUCAGUUAGCUUGAGGUGCACGUGCCUUCUUGUGCCUCAAAAUGAAUGGAGAAAAGCCGUCGAGAGGAUUGGAGGACUCUCCUGUUUUUCCUUAGGAAGAAUGAAAAUGGCAGCCAUCUUCCUGAGGGUGGGAGGUGGGGUGGGUGCUGAAGCUCUGCUCUCACACUGUCAACAGCGUGAUUCCCAAUCCCACCCAAUCCACCCAAUCCUCCUCCAAGACUACCGAAGAGACGGAGGGAAAGGACAAACAUCCAAACCCUGAACUGGAGAAGCAGCUGUAGAACACGUCAAGUUCAAUAGUGCUCUCUUAGGACACCAAAGAGGAUCGCUGUCAGGAAGCUGCAGAAAGACCAGUCCCUGGCAUCCACUGUUGUUUUGGCUUAAAAAGCUAUUGUGCUCAUACAUGUGGUGGUUGCUUUCCUAUUGUGGUGAUAAAACACCGUGACCAAAGCAACGUAUAAAAGAAAGUCUACUCGGGCUUAUAGUUCCAGAGAGAUAAAAUGAGCUGUGGCAAAGCAGAGGCAUAGGGUUGGAACUGGAAGCUCCGAGCUCAUACCUUUCUUUCUCUUUUUUUAAAGAUUUAUUUAUUAUUAUAUGUAAGUACACUGUAGCUGUCUUCAGAUGCAUCAGAAGAGGCAUCAAAUCUCAUUAUAGAUGGUUGUGAGCCAUCAUGUGGUUGCUGGGACUUGAACUCAGGACUUUUAGAAGAACAGUCAGUGCUUUUAACCACUGAGCUAUCUCUCCAGCAAGCUCACACCUUGAACUCAAAGGAGAAAGCAGAGAAACGGCAAUGAUGAAAGCGUUUAAAGUCUCAAAGCCUCCAUUGACAGACUUCCUCCAACAAGGCCACACCUCCCAAGCCUCCCCAAACAGUGUCACCAACUGGAGCCCAAGCAUUCAAAUAACAGAGCCUUUGGGGACAUCCUCAUACAAGCCACCACACGUCUGUAUUUUGCAACUGAAAAUUUUCCCAGGGGGUAGGGGGAGAUGGGUGGCUCGUUUGGAAAACUGUUUGACUUCCAAGUGUGAGGACCUAAAUUUCACCCCUGGAGCCCAUAUUUAAAAGACCAGGUGACACAUGCUUAUAGUCCCAGCACCGGAGGGACAGAAACAAGCAGAUCUCUGGAGUUCACUGGUCAGCCAGUCUAACUAAGUUGGUGAGUUCCAGGUUCAGUUGACUCUGCUUAGGAGGCGAAUGCAUUCUGGGGAAUGUUUCUCGCGGUGAAGAGACACCGUGACCAAGGCAACCCAUAAAGGGAAGCACUUGACCGGGAGCUGGCUCACAGUGUGUUAGAUGGUUAGUCUGUAACCAUUGUGAUGGGGAGCGUGGUGGUACACAGACAGGCAUGGUGCUGGAGAGGCAGCUGAGCCCCCAUACAUAACCACAGGACACAGGAAGGGAGAGGGGGUGAGAGAGACAGAGACAGAGAGAAACAGACAGAGACAGACAAACGGAUUGGCUUGUGCUUUUGAAACCUCAAAGCCCAUCCCACUGACAUACUUCCUUCAGUAAGGCCCCACCUCCUGAUCCUUUCCUCUGACACUUUGAGCGUCAUCUCUCAGACUGAAGAGCAGCAUCUAACACUAAUCCCUCAGAAUGCAUUUGAGCUCCUGUAAGGUUUUCUUUGUCGUGCGUGUCUGGUAUGUGUGCUUAUAUAUGUUUGCCUGUACCUGUGCACAUGUGCACCUGAGGCUGAUGUUGAGAGUCUUCCUUACGUGUUAAGGGUGUGGUCUCUUGGUUGAACCAGGGGCUCUCAGAUACAACUAGCCUAUGUUAGCCAGGAAUCCUGUUUCCACCUUCCUCCAGUGCACUGGAAUCACAAAUGGCCGCCAUGCCCACCCAGCCUCUUGGGGUCUGGGCUCUGUCUUCACACCUGCCGCUUGCAUGGAAGGUGCUUUAGCCACCCGGCCAGCUCCCGACCCGCCUCUCAUGUUAUCAGGAUGAAGUGUUCUGAGCUGUGCUGUGCUCUGUGAGUGUGUGCUGUCUGCUAAGAGAACAUCCCAGUUGAUAGCGGUGCAGUUGGGAGUCCCCGCUUCCUGAGCAGCUGGGAGGAGAUGAUACUAACCAAUGAGCGCGCAUCCUCACGUCACGUGGGAGUUUGAGCGCACCAGCACAGUUUGUGGCCAGUUAGAGCACAGCUCAGAGCCCCCUGAGGAGCUUGUUAAACACGGGUGGCUGAGCCCCAGGCCCAGAGUUUCUGAUUCUGUGGAUCUGGAUCUAAGCAGAUGUGAAGAACUUACAUCUCUCUAACGAGUCCCCUGGUGAGUCUGGUGCCUCUGGGCCUGUGGCCACACCUUUGGAACCGGUUGCUUAGCUCACCUGGUUGAAGGAAUCAAAGAUGCAGAUUUGACUAGGUACCGCCCUGUUGAGGAAGCCACUGGCUCUAGGGGGCGCUAAAGGAUGGAGGAUGGGUGCUCAUUAACUCAACUCUCCUCCACUGCCUAAAAGU